GCCAGGCACGGUGGCCCCAGCUCCUGGGGGGCUGAGGCAGGAGGAUCUCUUGAGCCCAGGAGUCCUGGGCUUUGGUGCGCUAUGCCUGUUGGAUGUCCGCACCAAGUUUGGCAUCAAUAUGGUGACCUCCUGGGAGCAGGGGACCACCAGGUUGCCUAAGGAGGGGUGAACCGGCCCAGAUCAGAAAUGGAGCAGGUCAAAAAACCAUAUAUGCCAAAUGAAUACAACUAUAUCAAAUCAUUCCUGAUACUUAUAACUUUUAGUUUAAU
ensembl:misc_RNA Metazoa_SRP Metazoan signal recognition particle RNA